GUAAGGUCGUUGGAGGGGGCAGAGCCUGGCUACAGGAGAAGGGGUGUGGCCAGGUGCCUCAGAUGUGGGCGUCCUGGGGCUGGGUCAUGGGAGGGGUGUGGCUGGACCACAGCCGGGGCGGGCCUGGGUUCAUGAAGAGGAGGGGCAUGGCCCAGGAGCACCAGGAUUGGGCACAACAGGGUAACUCACCAGAGGGGGCGGAACCUGGCUACAGGAGGAGGAGGCCUGUGGCCAGGGUCUUCAGCCUUGGGUGUCCAGGUCAGGGUCAUGGGAGGGGCCAGGCCCGGGUUCAGGAAGAGAAGAGGCGUAGCGCAGGAGCGCUAGGAUUGGGCACAACAGGGCGGGUUACGGGAGGGGAUGGAGCCAGGGCACCUCAGCUAUGGGUGUCCUUGAGCUCUAG
rnacentral:lncRNA from 1 species